rnacentral:rRNA from 1 species
UACAGAGGGUGCGAGCGUUAAUCGGAAUUACUGGGCGUAAAGCGCGCGUAGGCGGCUUUUCAAGUCGAUUGUGAAAUCCCCGGGCUUAACCUGGGAACUGCAGUCGAGACUGUCUAGCUAGAGUAUGGGAGAGGGAAGUGGAAUUUCAGGUGUAGCGGUGAAAUGCGUAGAUAUCUGAAGGAACAUCAGUGGCGAAGGCGACUUGCUGGGCCGAUACUGACGCUCAUGUGCGAAAGCGUGGGGAGCAAACAGG